CCUGAGAAACCCAAAAGAUCGAAUGGGGAGAUUCAUCGUCAGCGAUCCCGGCACGUGCGCGGUUCGCGAUGUCGGAGGGCCUCGGCCUCUCGGCACGCGUCCGGUUUCAUUGCCGGGNNUGUCGUCGGCGUGCACUUCUCCCCUAGUAGGACGUCGCGACCCGUUGGGUGUCGGUCUACGGCCCGGGUGGGAGCCUGUCACGCGUAACGCCUCGCGGCGUCGCGUGGCAGACCCCCGGUCGCCCGACCAGCUGCUCGGCGGUAUUCGCACGGUAUAGAGCCGCAAAUAUUCGAACUGCGUCCGGCCCGCCGCAAGCUGUGCCAGUGUAUACCCGGAUGUACGGACCUAGCGCCGUCACCGGGCCUGGCCGGCUGUUGGCCGGCGGUGUCCUGGGACCGGCUCUAAAUUUUACCGGUCAGCGACGCUACUGCUUUGGGUACUUUCAGGACCCGUCUUGAAACACGGA
rnacentral:rRNA from 1 species